UACGAAGGGGGCUAGCGUUGCUCGGAAUUACUGGGCGUAAAGCGCACGUAGGCGGCUUCUUAAGUCGGUGGUGAAAUCCUGGAGCUCAACUCCAGAACUGCCUUCGAUACUGGGAAGCUCGAGUCCGGGAGAGGUGAGUGGAACUGCGAGUGUAGAGGUGAAAUUCGUAGAUAUUCGCAAGAACACCAGUGGCGAAGGCGGCUCACUGGCCCGGUACUGGCGCUGAGACGCGAAAGCGUGGGGAGCAAACAGG
rnacentral:rRNA from 1 species